GCGCUGAGCGCGCGGUCCGAGAGCCUUUCCCGAAGCCCCUUGCGCGGCACCUGGCGACAAAAUGGCUGCCCGAGGGAGACGGGCGGAGCCUCCGGGUCGGGAGGCGCCCGGCCCGGCGGGCGGCGGCAGGAGCCGAUGGGCUGAGUCGGGGCCAGGAACGUCACCCGAGAGCGGGGACGACGAGGUGUCGGGCUCAAGUCCGGUGUCCGGCGGUGUGAACUUGUUCGCCAACGACGGCAGCUUCCUGGAGCUGUUCAAGCGGAAGAUGGAGGAGGAGCAGCGGCAGCGGCAGGAGGAGCCACCCCCGGGCCCGCAGCGACCCGACCCAUCGGCCUCCGCCGCGGCGGGCCCAGGGAAUCCGAAGAGGAAGGGCGGCCCGGGCCCCACACUCAGCUUCGUCGGCCGGCUGGAGGAGCUGGGCGAGGCGUCGAUAGGAAGGUGUAGUGGGCCUCAGCCCCGCCAAGGGCGGGCCCGGCUCCUGUAACCCUUGCAGUCUUCUGUCCCUUCACCCAGGUGGGCAAGCGCAGAGGCGGAAACAAACUAGCCCUCAAGACGGGAAUAGUAGCCAAGAAGCAGAAGACGGAGGAUGAGGUAUUAACAAGUAAAGGUGACGCAUGGGCCAAGUACAUGGCAGAAGUGAAAAAGUACAAAGCCCACCAGUGCGGUGACGAUGAUAAAACUCGGCCCCUGGUGAAAUGACCCCCUCCUGGGUGCUCACUGCCUGGGACUCUGCAAUGUACAUAACUAUUUAAGGCGGUAAUGGCAGCGGCCUUCCUGGAGGACUGAUACACAGAAGGAAACCAAGGCGCUUCCCGUGGCCGCAGACCAUUCUCCAGGACUCUUUUUUUACCUUGAGCACUUGCCUCCUGAGACUCACUAGACCAGUGGUUUACUGUCCCCUUUCUUCCCACCACCUCGCUUUCUCUGGCUCUGUCUGUCUCUCUUGCUGUCCUUCUCCUUUUAGCAGUCACUUCUGAGAAGUAAAGAACCUGAUUUAGUGCUGGA